ACAAGGGUGCCCUCUCCUUGUCUACAAGAAGAAUGGGUCACUUGAGUACACAGCCACAUGGCAGCCACCUCCAAGCCAAGAGGACACGACUCAGGGUAAACCAGCAUCUUAAUGAGGGGCUCUUAGGCUCCAGCACUGUGGGAGUGUCUUGUUGCCAGUCUGGGCUGCUGUAACAAAUACCAUGGACUAGAAGGCGUUAUGAAAGACAUUUAUCUGCCCGAAUUCUGGAGAUGGAGAAGUCCAAGACUAAGAGAGAACAUUUUUCGUGGUACGUGCUCCAGGCUUUUUCUGCAUUCUGGCCGUGGUUUUGCUUUAUCUGCAUGAAGACAUUGGAAAGCUCUUUGACCGGAAGGAUGUUGGCAGCCUCUUGCAAAGGAGCGAUUCUCCCUCUCUGAAGGGCUAAAGGGGAGGCUGUAAUGUGGGAAGAGGAGGAAAAUGUUCACUUCUUCAUCUCUGAAAAAAAGAAAAGUUGCUGGUGCUGCUCUAAAUGUGGACAGGCUGAUCUACCUCCAUGAUUAUAAAAACAAAUCUUCCCUUUUGCAUUUAAAAUGAAGCAUAUCUGUCUGCAAUUUCUUCUGCCUGGUUUUCCAUAAUUUCUAAUUUCUUUAUAAUGAACAUGU